GUUUCAUAGUGAAACACUGACGCACACUUUUUUAACACCCGAUCAAAAGAUCUCCCAGACUCCUCCACUCUCUCUUCUUUUUAUGACAAACACACAUGAAACCGGAGAGGAACCAACAAUACUUUUGGUUUCAGUUAAGUACAGGAUCAGUGAAAUGUACCCAGCCCGGUCUUUGUGCUGGUCUUGGCGAGCCGGAUGGUUUCCCCCCUCAUGGGCCCUCACCACACUCAGAGAGCCCGCUCAUAAUGAACGGUUUCUGCUCGGCUGUUUUUGGAAACACUAUGGAAGAAUGUACAGAUUAUAUUUACUGCACAAAAUGUGUUUCAAAUAUACGCAAAGACACAGAUGAAUGGAGAAAUCCAGACUUUAUGGUGUUUGUAUGAAAUCUCUCACGGUACUUAAAGAACCUCUUCCUGUGGGGUCUUACACAUGAUGAAACCAGAUUCGAUUUCUUUUAGACGGGCGGAUCAUGCAGUAUAGAUGUUUUUCUGCAGGGUCACUUCAGGUCACUAUGAUGACUUCAUGCUUUCUGCUGCGUGAAUUCAAAUUUUAUGAAUGAUUUGAAUGUUAAGUUAAUCAUAGUUUAUAAUUACUUUAGCAGGAAGUGUUAAUUGUGGACCAUAGGAGGAGUAGUUGCUACCUUAGUAAUGACAAAUUAAGACCCAAAUAAAUACCCACUUAGAUACUCAAAUAGAUAUUGUAAAGGAGCGUCUUUACUCAGGGGAUGACUGGAAAAAGUUGGGAUGACAUUGGGAAGAAAAUUUCAGUUGGAUAACCAUGACCUGGAUCAGACCCGGGCAUUUUACAGCCUGAGGGCCACAUCCGGCCCUUUGGAUGUCCCUGCCCGGCCUUUCGUGAGGUUCGUCAAUCAAAUCAUCAACAUGCUAUACAAGCGUGUUGCUUUUAUUUUGAAAACCUAGCCAUUGAUUUAUUUCCAUUUGGACGCACGUGUGUACAUCCUAAAUCUGAUCUACAAAAACAACAUUGGCAAAAUAUACGUAGAUGCCUUAGAGUUGCUAAGUCUGCUUACUAUAAAUAACCUUAGGCUUGUUUGUCUCAGAAGUCGUUUGUAAAAUUCGUGAGUUGCGGGUGUGCUUUUUUGGGCUUGUUUUUAACUCAAAGUUGCUUAUUUGGGCUUGCUUUUCCAAUUUGAAGUUGAAGUUAUUGUUGGUUCGGCCCUUCAACACAGUACAGGUUUCUUAUGUGGCCCGAUGUAAAAAUGAAUUGGAUGAAUGAGGACCUACACUGACAAUAUUUUGGGGUUUGCGUUUACACAUUCAGAUCACUCAAAAACAUCAACAAGUUUUUAGUAGUGUUUUGCUCAAAGAAGGGCCAAAUAGAAGGGUGAAACUAACCUGUUUGAAAGGUAGUGUUUGAUUCAGUGUGACUUUGUUUAAUCUGCCUCACUGUACUCAGUUCGUCAGUCUUCCUAAAUUUCGAUGCAUUUUUCAAACCAAGUUUUCCCGAGAGGAAGUCAGCCUCUCCAGUCUGGCCUGUGAAAUGAAAAACCUUAUUUUCAUUGGAGGUAAAAUGCUUGUUUUAUGAACAGAUGUGUGUGGGGGAGUGUGUGCUAAAGAAUUCAGCCAUUCAAAUGAGACAAUGGGAGUGAAGUAAGGAGGUAUUUUUAACCUCCAUGCUAAGUACCCUAAAAUCACUUUUUCCUCACUUGCUAUGGCGGUGAUAGACGCCAUUUAUAAUCUUUGCGUCUGGCUGAUAUCUGUGACAUUCCCUGAUUCCAUAUGAGAUUGGCUAUUGUAUUACUAAUCUGCCCCUACCUGUUGGCUGCCUGGUUUCCUUUGUAUACACCUCUGCAGGGCUUUCAUUCAAAUACCAGCACCCUAGUGGAAGUAAUUCAUUCCCCUUCCCUGAGAAAAGUCUGCAAAUGACACUCUCUGGCUCUGGUUUUAGUGGUCUCAUGAACAAUGACUCUAAUCUUAAAUAUUCCUGAAGAAAAAAGGACAAAGGUGAGAACUCUGAAACUAUGAAGGGAUAAAAGACACACUUAAAAAAUGGUUAAAAGGCUGAUUUUGAUUGAUUGGUACAGAGUUAGACAGCUAAAAAAACAGAGAAAGGACUGUUAAAAAAUAAGAUGAUUGACGAUUAUACAAAAGUUUGAGGACAGACUAAUAGACUAAACAUCUAAUCAUUUUCCAGAUGCAUGAACUCAAACAGCUGAAUCUGCCGUCCUCUCUCCAUGGAAUUAGGACAGGAUCAGCUAAACAGGCGUAAACAAAAGCUAGCAAUAGCCUGAAAGACUCACUACAACGAGAGCUGAUAAUCACACUGAUUGCAGUUUUUCUGCUUUACACGAUUAACUGCCUCAAGUUUUGUCAAAAUUGUGACAUGUUAGAAGUCACAGUCAUCCAAUAGUUUAGUUUCACACAGUGAAUGCAGAGCUGUUCGUAAAUACCUCAACUUCAGGGUAUUUUGUUGAUUGUGUGCCUGGGCAUAAUGGUAGACAAUGCUUAAGAGUACCAAAGCGGCAAUCUCAGCAGUUCCACCAGUGUCUGCUUGAUUGGCUGCAAAUUGAGCUAAUCAUCAGAGCAAAAAUAAAUACAUCUUUGGCCCUGUUAAAAAAAAGGGUUCAAGUCAGAGAAGCUCGGGGCUCCCAUGGCAUCCCUGGAGAGAAUUUUUGUGUAACACAUUUGUGUUGAAUUUGUGUUGACUGGCAGGUGGGCACACUGUUGAUAUUUGCAAGGAGGCAAAGGCCCGCCUCUUGUCUUUAAGUUAGGUUGAGUCAGCAUUUCCACCAGCAAAUGGCUUCAAAACUCAGCUUUAGAAAAACAUGGGUGAUGUCAGCGACACUACGUCCAGUAAUCACACAGUUUAUGAGUAGCUCACUAAAAUUACAAAACACUGAUCUGCCAAAACAUCAUGACAACGACAUUACCAAGCUUUUUGGGCCUCACCACAAACAGUCAAAUAUUUUCAAGGAUCUCUGCAAAUAAUGGACCUUUAAAUCCAAACCUCUCUCCUAUAUGGUGCAUCUACACAAAUGCAACCACGAUCCAAUCCAAUACAACCGCUCAGCCACAAACUUUUACCUUUAUUUGUUGGUGUGUUUGUCCGAUUUCUAAGAAAUUCAACUGUUUCAGGUGGACUAAUAUUUACAUGUUUUGCUGCAUUUGACUCAAAACACAGUAAAUCAUACAGACUGUGGGUUUAAAUGUAAAGUACAAAAGCACAGUGACAGCAGAGGAUCAUUAUGGCAGAUAUGGAAGAAUCUCAGAGUAAUGAGGGAUCUAAAUACUGGUUAUCUCCUAUUGUGAUGUGCAUGUUUGAAAGGCAAACCCAGAAAAUUCAAUAUCUCAAACGUCCUGAAAUGGUCUGCUGUUUUUCUGUGAAUGGGACUUUUGUUAAACAGCUUGUAUUAUAAGAAGACCUGCCUCUGUUUUAGUGUUUGGGGAUCUUUGCAGGCCAGUUGAGCAGAAGGCUUUUUUUCCCUUUUGAAUCACAGAUCUUUUCAUUGAAACUGAAACUGACAAAAAAGUCCCAGAGAGGAAUGUUGGAUUUCCCAGACAUCGUCACCAAACAAAAGGAGCUGUUUAUGACAUUACUCUCCUGGCCUGUUUGCCCACGCUCCCUCUGACAGGAAGUGAGAAAGCUCUUCCCAGAACCUGACCCCCGGCAGAGAGAGAGUGAGAGAUGUGGUGGGCUUGUCCGUAAUUAAAGAAGCUUGAAUAUAUCUCACGGACACCGGUUGCUACUCAUUCUCAUGACUAAACCACACCACGCAGCACGUCACCCACUCUCCUCCCUCCUCCUCAAUGUGGGAAACCUCUUUUCUCUUUCUUCCAUUCUGUCCUCCAAGAUGAACUCAUCCCAAACCGCCGCUGUAUGAACAAAACAAGCUUUCAUAAAACUGCUCAUUCACAUCUCACCCGCAGACAGCGAAUGUGGAAAAAAACACAAACGUAUUAAAGCAUGAGCUAGCCUCUCAGUGACCACUACAUGCCCGCCAAAGAAAUACAAAUGACAGUCUUUGUGGCGAAUACUGUCACUCUGGAAACAUGUCAACUUAUGAGGGGAAAAAAAAGUUCACCUUCAGGUUGAGUUUUAGACAUUUUGGCAGCUUUAAACUGGCAGAAUCACUGUGAAAUCUGCGGUGAGAAACUUUACUUUGUCAGAGAAACCUAAUUAGGAAAGAAUGCCUCUUUAUCAGGGUUGACCUGCUGCCAUUUCAGGGUUUAUCAGCACCAGUGUGAAUGGCGGGGAGGGGGGGUUAGAUGUUAAAAUGUGGGAAUGAGUGGACAGAGAGAAGAAAAUGGAGCCUAACAUGGAGUGAAACAAUGUCCUACUGAUCUGUAAAAGAAAAGAGGCUUGAACAUCAUCCCUGACAUGGCGUAAUCUGCCAAAAAUUGCAAAAAAAAGGAAAAAGACAGACUAAAAAAAAAAGAGCUAACUCUUCCUUUAAAGGACAGAUAUGGACACUGCAUCAAGUGUUUAUGUUUCUCAAGCUGCUGUAGUGCCAUAUUGACCCACAUAUGAGUUUUUAUUCUCCACUUAAAAUACUUUUAAUAAAGAGGGAUAAUCUUUUAUUCGGGGUCAGCACUGCCACUUCUUUGUGCAGUGAUUUUUACCCUUUGAUAACUGAGGACAGGCAAUACUUUUGACCACAGAAGCAGGGGAUGAAAGAUGGAGAGACACAACUUAUUCAUCAACUUGUGAUGCUAAUUUAGAAGGACGUGAUGUGUGAGAGGACCCAUGCCAUGAGCACUUUUGGGCACUUAGACUAUCGUGGAUGUUGGCCUAUAAACUCCCUCUCCUCUUAAGAGUGGAGGACACACUAUUCAUGAUUUACAAAGAGAAUAUAAAACUUUUAACUUUAACAUCUUUAGUGAGUUUGAGUUUAGAGCUGUUCCCAGAAUAAUGUUGAUAUACAGACAUAUUCCUAUUGUAUACAGUUUUAACCUGCAUUUGUGGAUACAGUGUCAAACUGUGCUCACUUAGGUGGUUAUUUUCAACCUUUGCAGCAAUUUCCACUACAGAGUCAUGCCUGUUUUUAAAGCUCCUGUGGGGAAGUUUCAGUUUGUUUAAAUUUUAGUGCUCCCUGUGGCCAAAGCUGUCCACUCUGAUCUUGUCCUCUACAUGCUUAAGAUCUCUCAUUAAGGGAGCUAAUCGUUCUGAUUUAAGAUUUAUUAUUUCUUGUGAGUAUUUAUCUGGAAAAUACAAAAACAGGCCUGUUUCCCCAGCUGCUUGUCUGACACCUACCCUCACGUCAUGGUCUACAGCAUUAAAAAUGACAAUAUAGAAAUCAUCCGUCUUCUUUCUGAUGGCCUUGUUUCCUUUUAUAUAUCAUAAAAGCCAUUAUUAUCAAUUUCAGUAUCUUUUUUUAUAAAAGUCAAAAAGCGUUUCACAGGAGUUUUGAUGCAGUGCUGUAUGAAGGGCCAAAGUUCAAGGCCCGGCAGAACUGGUUUUUGGGCUCAUACAGAGAUUUCUCCAGAUACUCUAAACCUUUUUUAUUUUAUCUUAGACUGUGGAAAUUCAUAAAAGUUUUGCAAUUUUAUCCUCUGCAGUAUUAUUUUGGAUAGAAUUGGACUGUUUGUUCACACAGUCUCUCACAAAGUGGUGACCCUUUUCUCAUCUUUACUUUCGAUAGACUAAUAUUCACAUAAAUGCCCUUUUUAUGUCUGUCUGGUCAUAAUUCCAACCUGCUGUGAAUGAAUUUAAUCAGUUUGAAGAGGUUUUUUCAGCUUUCCUUAACUUUUACUGUCUUUUGUUGCCGUCCUUUUUGACCCGUGUUGAUGGCAUCAAAUUUGAAACGAGAAUAUAUUUUUCAUUCAACAAUAUAUCGUUUUAGUUUGAGAAUUUGAUGUGUUCUCUUUGCUCUAUUUUCAGUCACAUAUGGGGUUUGAAUGGUUGAAAAAUCUGUCUAAAGCAACAUUUUACAGUGUGCGAACUUUUUUUUUUUAGGAAUAAUUGGUAAAAGCUGUGACCACACAUAAAAAUGACAUUUUUUAGAAAGAAGGAUUCAUCUUAUAAUUGGAUCCGUAUGGUAUACCUUUAGAUAAUUAAUUCAAGUUACAGCUCCCCGGGGCCUUACAUAAAUAAACCACAAACAAAACAGAGCAUAAAGACGAGGCAUCACGCUGUGCCAGUGAGUGUGACUAAAGCAAUUAAGUGAAAUGCAAAUAGGAAAAGCAGCGGCAUUUUGACUAAUGAGGCAGAACAGUUGGUGUCAACAUAUCUGACCGAGCUGUCUCCAUUUACUUAUAAAUACUAUGGUGAUUUCCUCUCUUUGUGGGCCAAGAAACAGCUCAGCAAUCCUAGUGGGAUUUAGUGUCGGUGAUGCCAUCGAGGAUUUUGAUAAACACAUAUGGAAGUGGGCUGAAACUUUUAAUAAACAAUAAUAUAUCCAGAGUGUGGAAACUCUAAGCUUACUCAGUGAGAACUGCCAACUUCAGGGUGAGAACUGGUACAGGGCUUAAAUAAGAAAUAAGAGUGUUUGUGUUUGCACGCACACACCACUAACAUUCACAUACACUUGGUUUAUGCUAAAUCAAAACGGUCCCGAUGGUAGCCUCUUCCUGUGUUUAUUUUGACUAAAAGUCCCCUCUGACUUUUGCAACCCCAAUGAAACGUCUGACCCAAACAGACAUGGGAGUAGAUUUAGAGAGCAUCAGUUUUCUGUGAAUCAGGACAGAAACGAGGGUCUAAACGUGCAAAAACUUUCAAUGCAAAGUGAAAAAACCCUGCAAAAGACUCCAAAGUGUUUUUCCCAGCUGAAAAAAAAAAUGCAGAAUCAGUAAAAACCGCCAUCAGAUCUGGUGGAAGAAUUUACACAUUCCACUGAACCACAACAUAGAGCAGACUGUAUGCAAAUGCCACUUUUUACAACACUCUGAGGCCAUUUUUGUUUAAAGAUUUGCAUCUGUUUGCAUGACAGAGAAAACACAACUAAAAGAAAAAGCAGGAGAAACGGUGGAGCAGACUAUUCUGUGGCUGUGCUUGGUUUGAAUUAAAGCUUGCACAAGCAGCCUGAUCUGAAUUCAAAUGCCCAGACUGGGAGGCAGUGAGGUCUGCUGGAGAAGAAAAGAAGGAACAACAAACAUGGAGACAGAGCAGCUGGAGACUGGAGACAAGGGAGGAGAGUCAGGAACAGUGGAUGUCAGAAAUACACCGCGCAGUGUGGGAGCAAAAGAAGAGGAACAUAUCCAACAUUUACAUAUGCUCUUCACAUUUCUCCUUAUUAAGAGCACAAAGCGGGGUCGCUGCCCGGCACAGCUGCACAUGAGCCUGCUGCACCGUGGCAGAGGAGCUGGACUUCCACAAAGGCGGGCUAUUUCCAGGAUUCCCAUAAAUCUGCUGGACACUACAUUAGAGUUCCUGAGUUUCCCCUUUUUGAGCAGCUCUGUUGGAGCUUUUCUUUCCCAAACACAAAGACGCAUAAGAGGAAAAAAUUCUUGACCCAGACCUAACCU